GGUAAGUCAGAUGUGAAACCCCUUGGGCUCAACCUGAGGCUUGCGUUUGAUACUGCUGGGCUAGAGUUACUGAGAGGAAGGCGGAAUUCCUGGUGUAGGGGUGAAAUCUAUAGAUAUCAGGAAGAACAUCUGUUGCGAAGACGGCCUUCUGGCAGUUAACUGACGCUCAUGUACGAAAGUUAGGGUAGCAAACAGGAUUAGAGACCCUGGUAGUCCUAACUGUAAACGUUGUAUACUAGGUGGUUGGAGUAUUGAUCCUCUGACUGCCGCAGCUAACGCAUUAAGUAUACCGCCUGGGGAGUAUGCCGGCAACGGUGAAACUCAAAGGAAUUGACGGGGGCCCGCACAAGCAGUGGAGCAUGUUGUUUAAUUCGAUGAUACGCGAGUAACCUUACCAGGUCUUGACAUAUACUCGAAUACCAUAGAAAUAUGCUAGCUCUUCGGAGCGGGUAUACAGUUGCUGCAUGGUUGUCGUCAGCUCGAGCUGUGAGGUGUUGGGUUAAGUCCCGCAACGAGC
rnacentral:rRNA from 1 species